rnacentral:rRNA from 1 species
AGUGAACGCUGGCGGUAUGCCUAACACAUGCCAGUCGAACGGCAGCACAGUAAGAGCUUGCUCUUACGGGUGGCGAGUGGCGGACGGGUGAGGAAUACAUCGGAAUCUACUUUUUCGUGGGGGAUAACGUAGGGAAACUUACGCUACUACCGCAUACGACCUACGGGUGAAAGCAGGGGAUCUUCGGACCUUGCGCGAUUGAAGGAGCCGAUGUCGGAUUAGCUAGUUGGCGGGGUAAAGGCCCACCAAGGCGACGAUCCGUAGCUGGUCUGAGAGGAUGAUCAGCCACACUGGAACUGAGACACGGUCCAGACUCCUACGGGAGGCAGCAGUGGGGAAUAUUGGACAAUGGGCGCAAGCCUGAUCCAGCCAUGCCGCGUGGGUGAAGAAGGCCUUCGGGUUGUAAAGCCCUUUUGUUGGGAAAGAAAAGCAGCAGGUUAAUACCCCGCUGUUCUGACGGUACCCAAAGAAUAAGCACCGGCUAACUUCGUG